rnacentral:rRNA from 1 species
AAGACUCUGACGGUACCCCCUGAAUACAGUGACAGCAAACUAUGUGCCAGCAGCUGCGGUAAUACAUAGGUCGCGAGCGUUAUUCGGAUUUAUUGGGCGUAAAGCAAGCGCAGGCGGAUUGAUAAGUUCUGUGUUAAAAGCAGCUGCUCAACAGUUGUUUGCACCGAAUACUGUCAGUCUAGAAUGUGGUAGGGAGUUUCGGAAUUAAAUAUGGAGCGGUGGAAUGUGUAGAUAUAUUUAAGAACACCAGAAGCGAAGGCGGAAACUCAGGCCAUUAUUGACGCUUAGGCUUGAAAGUGUGGGGAGCAAAUGGGAUUAGAUACCCCAGUAGUCCACACCGUAAACGAUGGGUAUUAGAUGUCGGGUUUUAAUUCUCGGCGUUGUAGCUUACGUGUUAAAUACCCCGCCUGGGUAGUACAUAUGCAAAUAUGAAACUCAAAGGAAUUGACGGGGACCUGAACAAGUGGUGGAACAUGUUGCUUAAUUCGAUAAUACACGAAAAACCUUACCAAGGUUUGACAUCCCCCGCAAAGCCAUGGAAACAUGGUGGAGGUUAUCGGGGUGACAGGUGGUGCAUGGUUGUCGUCAGCUCGUGUCAUGAGAUGUUUGGUUAAGUCCCGCAACGAGCGCAACCCUACUCCUUAGUUACCUUUUCUAGGGAGACUGAACAGUAAUGUAUAGGAAGGUUGGGAUCACGUCAAAUCAUCAUGCCCCUGUAUGCCUUGGGCUGCAAACGUGUUACAAU